rnacentral:rRNA from 1 species
GACGAACGCUGGCGGCACGCUUAACACAUGCAAGUCGAACGAGAGAAGAGAAGCUUGCUUUUCUGAUCUAGUGGCGGACGGGUGAGUAACACGUGAGCAAUCUGCCUUUCAGAGGGGGAUACCGAUUGGAAACGAUCGUUUAUACCGCAUAACAUAAUUGAACCGCAUGAUUUGAUUAUCAAAGAUUUAUCGCUGAAAGAUGAGCUCGCGUCUGAUUAGCUAGUUGGUAAGGUAACGGCUUACCAAGGCGACGAUCAGUAGCCGGACUGAGAGGUUGAUCGGCCACAUUGGGACUGAGACACUGCCCAGACUCCUACGGGAGGCAGCAGUGGGGAAUAUUGCACAAUGGAGGAAACUCUGAUGCAGCGAUGCCGCGUGAGGGAAGAAGGUUUUAGGAUUGUAAACCUCUGUCUUCAGGGACGAAAAAAGACGGUACCUGAGGAGGAAGCUCCGGCUAACUACGUG